UAAAAAAGGUUCUCCACUGUUGAUUAUCACCAUGUUGAUGCUAUGUUAGUUUUUCUUUAACAUGCUGAGGUUUUCAUUAGGAUUACGGUUUGUGGUGAGGUGACAAAUACGAAUAGAUACUAUGAAAUUAGUUAGGCAUGACUGCAUCUCCACUUCAGCAUAGUAAACUUUUACUUUCACAUUCAUUGUGGAAGGAGAAACUGUCCUCAUAACCCUGAAAACGUAUCUCCUCAUUUUGCAGUUAUAUUACCAGAGUCAUUUUAGUUAGGCUUUCCUGCAUGAGGUUAACAUUAGAAGUAACAUCCAAGUUCGAAUGACUUUCAGCCGUUAUCAGAAUACUAUACAGCUAUUAUUUUAUUAUCGAAACUCGUGGCCUUCAACUGCCCUUAUCAAACUGAUGACAAGGUGAGACAAGAACUUGCACAAGCGGCUUGUGUCAUGCUUGAUAUAACUUGCCAGGAUAGAAUGGUUUGAUUUGUGAUGGUGUCUGCAUAAAACCAAGAAACCGAUGCACUAGUGUUGUGUUUGGGAUUGAUUAUUGUGUAUUAACAGUUUACGGAUAUUAGCUUCGUAUGCUAGUGAAGUUCAAUAUGAAUACAGGUGCAGUCUUUCAUGGUUUGAAAUGAUGGAUUGACACCCUUGUAGUUCUGUGUGAAGUUGAUGGAGUUGUUUUUAUUGCUGCCAUAGCUCGAAGCCCUUGUACAACGCGACAACAUUUCGUGUAAGUUUGUAACAAAACAAACUCUACAGAAAGAAAAAAAAGAAGAUCAGUUGUUGGUUUGUUGCUUGUCAUCGUCUCUGGUUCUGUCUUGUGACAGAAAAUACACAUCAGGAGCGUUCCAGGAAUUAGAAGGAAUAAAACCAUUCGAGAUUUUUACUCGAGAAAAAAAGUUUGAACAUAAAAUUUGUUUUUAAACUUGGUGCAUUGGUUUGGAAGAUGUGGAUCAUACGUAGGAUGGUGGUUGUAAACUUGUAGUUCUGGAAUAUGAAAAUUGUUGUACUACUCAGAAUCAAUAGUAGUAGUCUGCCCAUUAGGGCUGGUUGCAGAAGGAUUUUUCAAAUUACGGUAAUCUCAGCCUUUCCAAUCAUCAUUAAGUUACUAAUGGGUGACACGCUCUUAGAAUGAUGAUAAUAUUAUGGUUUUUAUUGUAAUAAAAAUGUUAUGAAUAUCACAUUUUGUUUACCACAUCAAAACGGGACAUUUUUAUAUUGGGAUCCCCAUUUCUAUUAAGAGAUGGUUUCGAUUGAUCUACACAAUGUGGUUUUGCUAACACCAACUUUAUAAAGAAAUAAGGGGCCGUUUGUUUGACAGGACUAGGGAGGACUGGACUGGACUAGACUAUAGUCCCUUGUUUGGUUUGUAGCAGGAUUAGUUUUAAUGACCUUAGGUCAGACUCGCUCGGAUUAUUCACCUCCUUACGCGUUCUUAACGAGGAACCCCAGUUUCGGGAGGACUCGUAAGCCCUGAGAGAAAGCCGCGAGAGAGUCACUCAUCCAAGAACCUACGUCGCUCGUCCUCAUCGCUGCGUCUUCCCUCAUCGUCGUCCUUGCCCUGCUCCCUCAUCGUCAUCUUCCUCAUUCUGAUCUCUGCGCCUUCCCUCAUCUGCAUCUGCUCGCCCUCAUCUGCUCCGACUUGUCUGCAAUUUCGUGUCUGGGUUUCACAAGAGGAAGAAGAAGAGGAGAAGGGAAGCUGAGCAGAAGCAAGGAGAGGCAUUGCGGCGGAAACGUCUCAAGCUGUGCAAAAAGGGGAAUUCUAUAUCGACUACAAAGUACAACUUCAUUACAUUUUUGCCGAAAGGACUCUUUGAACAAAGAAGAGGAGCAUAAACGGAAGGCUAAGGCUAAGGCUACUGCAUUACAGGUGUC